CAGUCGCCACGGUAAUACGUAGGGUGCGAGCGUUAAUCGGUAUUACUGGGCGUAAAGCGUGCGCAGGCGGUUAUAUGAGACAGAUGUGAAAUCCCCGGGCUCAACCUGGGACCUGCAUUUGUGACUGUAUAGCUAGAGUACGGUAGAGGGGGAUGGAAUUCCGCGUGUAGCAGUGAAAUGCGUAGAUAUGCGGAGGAACACCGAUGGCGAAGGCAAUCCCCUGGACCUGUACUGACGCUCAUGCACGAAAGCGUGGGGAGCAAACAGGAUUAGAUACCCGCGUAGUCCCUGUCUCUUAUAC
rnacentral:rRNA from 1 species